rnacentral:rRNA from 1 species
CUAAUUAGAGGAAGUUUUCGGAUGGAAUUUGGUUAGCUUAGUGGCGGACGGGUGAGUAACGCGUGAGCAACCUGCCUUUCAGAGGGGGAUAACGUCUUGAAAAGGACGCUAAUACCGCAUAACAUUAACUUCCCGCAUGGGGGGAUAAUCAAAGGAGCAAUCCGCUGAAAGAUGGGCUCGCGUCCGAUUAGCCAGUUGGCGGGGUAGAGGCCCACCAAAGCGACGAUCGGUAGCCGGACUGAGAGGUUGAACGGCCACAUUGGGACUGAGACACGGCCCAGACUCC